CACGCCCUAAACGAUCUUCUCUAGUUUUUCGGAGUAUCGACCCUCUGAGAGACGUAGCUAACGCGUUAAGAGAAGCGCCUGGGUAGUACGACCGCAAGGUUAAAACUCAAAGGAAUAGACGGGGACUUGCACAAGCAGUGGAUCAUGUGGUUUAAUUCGAUGAUAAACGAAGAACCUUACCAGGGUUUAAUCUAGCUGAAGACACGGAGAAACCUGUGUCGUCGCAAGACAGUUAGUCAGGUGA
rnacentral:rRNA from 1 species